CUGCCAUCUGUGUUUGGAGACUGUGUCCCAGACUUUUGAGCUCACAUUAGUCAUGGCCACAGACGGGACUGGAGUCCUGCCCACUGGAGUCCCAAAGGUCUCUGGUGUUUGUUUUCCACUCUGCAUGCCUGGGUUGGGGGAUGGCAGGGGGAUACAGGUUGUUGGAGUACCUCCCAGCCGGGCCGUUUCCUUGGUUCCCUGGGGCUGCCUUGCUUCCUCUCUAGAUCAUCAGUCUCAGCAGAGGAAACCAAAAAUCUCCUCCUCGCCCCGCAACCACCUUUUGCUGACUGCUAAGCAUCCCUGCUCUGAAACCAUAACCACCAUAAAAGCAAUAGGCUUGUCUUCUCUGUUCUAAGCAUGUACUAUUCAGGUGAUUUAGGGGGAGUAAACAGGCCCAGAGAAAUUAAAUAAUUUGUCUAAGGGUACCGGCUAAUGAGGAUCUGAGCUCAGUUGUAAAUGACUCCAUCACCCAUGCUCUUUUUUAGUCCCCUUUAUAAUUAUUUUAAAAUAACAUUUAAUUAAUUUUCUGUUAUAAAAGGAACACAUGCUCAAACAAAAAACUUAGAAAAUAUAAAAAUGUAUGAAGACAAAACAAAAUAACCCCCAGUAUUAGCAAUGCCAACUUGCCAAGACAAAAAUGUUAACAUUUUUAUUUCUUUUUCUUUUCAGUCUUUACUCUCUGUGUGCACACACACACACAGGCAAAGUGAAAUCACAUUGUAUAUUCUUUUUUGCUUCUAGCAUUUUCCACUUAGCUAUCUAAUAUUACUAUUUCCUGAUAUCAAUAAAUGAUCUUCAAUCCCAU
rnacentral:lncRNA from 1 species